rnacentral:rRNA from 1 species
CGCCUCUUGACAUUCACUUAUAAGAGGUCCCGCCUGCCCUGUGACUACGGGUUUAACGGCCGCGGUAUUUUGACCGUGCUAAGGUAGCGUAAUCACUUGUCUUUUAAAUGAGGACCGGUAUGAAUGGCACCACGAGGGCUUAACUGUCUCCUUUUUCCUGUCAAUGAAAUUGAUCCCCCCGUGCAGAAGCGGGGAUAAUACCAUAAGACGAGAAGACCCUAUGGAGCUUCAGGCCCCGAGCAGACUAUAUUUGUAAUAACCUAAUAUACAAGAAAAAAUUAUUAUAGUCCUGCUCUCAUGCCUUUGGUUGGGGCGACCACGGGGAAAUAAAAAACCCCCACGCGGACCGGGAGAACAACCCCUCCAUACAACCUAGAGCCACAACUCUAAGUUACAAAAUUUCUGACCACUUAAUGAUCCGGCACUAGCCGAUCAACGAACCCAGUUACCCUAGGGAUAACAGCGCAAUCCCCUUUUAGAGUCCAUAUCGACAAGGGGGUUUACGACCUCGAUGUUGGAUCAGGACAUCCUAUUGGUGCAGCCGCUAUUAAGGGUUCGUUUGUUCAACGAUUAAUAGUCCU